CACGUAGGGGGCAAGCGUUGUCCGGAUUUAUUGGGCGUAAAGAGCUCGUAGGUGGUUCGGUGAGUCGGGUGUUAAACCCCCAGGCUCAACCUGGGGACGCCACUCGAUACUGCUGUGACUAGAGUCCGGUAGGGGAGCGUGGAAUUCCUGGUGUAGCGGUGAAAUGCGCAGAUAUCAGGAGGAACACCAGCGGCGAAGGCGGCGCUCUGGGCCGGUACUGACACUGAGGAGCGAAAGCGUGGGUAGCAAACAGG
rnacentral:rRNA from 1 species